CACCGUACCCAUGACUCGAGGAUAGCCUUUCGAAAGAAAGAUUAACUACGCCGAUGGUAUAGUAUUAUCCUGCAUGGAGAAUAUAUUAAAGAAUUUCGGUGAUGGAUGGGGAUGCGUUCCAUUACUUUGGUGGCGGGGUAACGGCCCACCAAGACUUCCAUGGAUAGGGGUUCUGAGAGGAAGGUCCCCCACAUUGGAACUGACACACGGUCCAAACUCCUACGGGAGGCAGCACUGAGGAAUAUUGGUCAAUGGACGAGAGUCUGAACCACCCUAGUAGCGUGAAUGAUGACUGCCCUUUGGGUUGUAAACUUCUUUUAUAUGGGAAUAAAGUGGGGUAUGCAUACACUUUUGUAUGUACCAUUAUGAAUAAGCAUCGGCUAACUCCGUGCCAACAGCCGCGGUAAUACGGACGAUGCGAGCGUUAUCCGGAUUUAUUGGGUUUAAAGGGAGCGUAUGUGGGCGAUUAAGUCAGUUGUGAAAGUUUGGCGCUCAACCUUAAAAUUGCAGUUGAUACUGAUUGCCUUGAGUGCGUUAAAGGUGGGCGGAAUUCUCGGUGUAUCUGUGAAAUGCUUAGAUAUCACGAAGAACUCCGAUUGCAUACGUAGCUCACCGGGCCGUAACUGACACUGAUGCACCAAAGUGU
rnacentral:rRNA from 1 species